rnacentral:rRNA from 1 species
UACGUAGGGCGCAAGCGUUAUCCGGAAUUAUUGGGCGUAAAGAGCUCGUACGCGGUUUGUCGCGUCUGCCGUGAAAGUCCGGGGCUCAACUCCGGAUCUGCGGUGGGUACGGGCAGACUAGAGUGAUGUAGGGGAGACUGGAAUUCCUGGUGUAGCGGUGAAAUGCGCAGAUAUCAGGAGGAACACCGAUGGCGAAGGCAGGUCUCUGGGCAUUAACUGACGCUGAGGAGCGAAAGCAUGGGGAGCGAACAGG